AACGAACGCUGGCGGCAUGCCUAACACAUGCAAGUCGAACGAACCCUUCGGGGUUAGUGGCGCACGGGUGCGUAACUCGUGGGAAUCUGCCCUUUGCUUCGGAAUAACAGGUAGAAAUGACUGCUAAUACCGGAUGAUGUUUUCGGACCAAAGAUUUAUCGGCAAGGGAUGAGCCCGCGUAGGAUUAGGGAGUUGGUGGGGUAAAGGCCUACCAAGCCGACGAUCCUUAGCUGGUCUGAGAGGAUGAUCAGCCACACUGGGACUGAGACACGGCCCAGACUCCUACGGGAGGCAGCAGUGGGGAAUAUUGGACAAUGGGCGCAAGCCUGAUCCAGCAAUGCCGCGUGAGUGAUGAAGGCCUUCGGGUCGUAAAGCUCUUUUACCAGGGAUGAUAAUGACAGUACCUGGAGAAUAAGCUCCGGCUAACUCCGUGCCAGCAGCCGCCGUAAGAC
rnacentral:rRNA from 1 species